rnacentral:rRNA from 1 species
CCUACGGGAGGCAGCAGUGAGGAAUAUUGGACAAUGGGCGCAAGCCUGAUCCAGCCAUGCCGCGUGCAGGAUGACGGUCGUAUGGAUUGUAAACUGCUUUUGUACAGGAAGAAACAGUGGUUCGUGAACCAGCUUGACGGUACUGUAAGAAUAAGGAUCGGCUAACUCCGUGCCAGCAGCCGCGGUAAUACGGAGGAUCCAAGCGUUAUCCGGAAUCAAUGGGUUUAAAGGGUCCGUAGGCGGUCAGAUAAGUCAGUGGUGAAAGCCCAUCGCUCAACGGUGGAACGGCCAUUGAUACUGUCUGACUUGAAUUAUUAGGAAGUAUCUAGAAUAUGUAGUGUAGCGGUGAAAUGCUUAGAGAUUACAUGGAAUACCAAUUGCGAAGGCAGGUUACUACUAAUGGAUUGACGCUGAUGGACGAAAGCGUGGGUAGCGAACAGGAUUAGAUACCCUGGUAGUCCACGCCGUAAACGAUGGAUAGUAGCUGUUGGGAGCAAUCUCAGUGGCUAAGCGAAAGUGAUAAGUAUCCCACCUGGGGAGUACGUUCGCAAGAAUGAAACUCAAAGGAAUUGACGG